UAUCUCUGUAGAGUCUGCAUAUCAAUAAGCGGAGGAAAAGAAACUAACAAGGAUUCCCUUAGUAACGGCGAGUGAAGCGGGAAGAGCUCAAAUUUGAAAUCUUCAAGGUUCUACCUUGACGAAUUGUAGUUUAUAGAAGUGUUUUCUGUUAGUGGAGUGGCAAAAGUUCUUUGGAAUAGGACAUCAUAGAGGGUGAGAAUCCCGUAUUUGGUCAUUCCUCCUAGCGUUGUGAUACACUUUCAACGAGUCGGAUUGUUUGGGAAUGCAGUCCAAAAUGGGUGGUAAAUUUCAUCUAAAGCUAAAUAUUGGCGAGAGACCGAUAGCGAACAAGUACCGUGAGGGAAAGAUGAAAAGAACGUUGAAAAGAGAGUUAAACAGUACGUGAAAUUGUCAAAAGGGAAGCGUUUGACACCAGUGUUGUUUUUCCGAAAAUCAAUUACGAAUGUUUUGUUUUUAAGAAGUUAUGACUUCAUCGGCUUGCUUCUUUCUUUACGAAACUUUCUUAAUGCACUUUUCGGUUAACAAGUCAACAUCAAUUUCUUUUGUUGUAAAAGGGUAUGAGGAAGGUGGCUUUCUUUUCGGAGAAAGUGUUUAUAGCCUUGUGCCUCUGCAAUCGGAGAGAUUGAGGUCUGCAGCGUAGAUCCUUCGGGGUUAGAUACAUUUGUGCUAAGUUAUAGCUUUUCAUAGACAACUUGUUGACUAUGUUUAGUCUUGUAGCUUACUCGCUUACUGCUAUUUUACCUACGCUUAGGAUGUUGAUGUGAUACUGCGAGCA
rnacentral:rRNA from 1 species